UACGUAGGGUGCGAGCGUUGUCCGGAAUUAUUGGGCGUAAAGAGCUCGUAGGCGGUCUGUCGCGUCGAUCGUGAAAACUUGGGGCUUAACCCUGAGCUUGCGGUCGAUACGGGCAUGACUGGAGUUCGGCAGGGGAGACUGGAAUUCCUGGUGUAGCGGUGAAAUGCGCAGAUAUCAGGAGGAACACCGGUGGCGAAGGCGGGGUCUCUGGGGCCGAUACUGACGCUGAGGAGCGAAAGCGUGGGGGAGCAAACAGG
rnacentral:rRNA from 1 species